UACGUAGGGUGCGAGCGUUGUCCGGAAUUACUGGGCGUAAAGAGCUCGUAGGUGGUUUGUCGCGUUGUCCGUGAAAACUCACAACUCAAUUGUGGGCGUGCGGGCGAUACGGGCAGACUGGAGUACUGCAGGGGAGACUGGAAUUCCUGGUGUAGCGGUGAAAUGCGCAGAUAUCAGGAGGAACACCGGUGGCGAAGGCGGGUCUCUGGGCCGAUAUUGACGCUGAGGAGCGAAAGCGUGGGGAGCGAACAGG
rnacentral:rRNA from 1 species